CCAAACUUGGUCAUUUAGAGGAAGUAAAAGUCGUAACAAGGUUUCCGUAGGUGAACCUGCGGAAGGAUCAUUACAAAUCAUUGGUUGUGGUGGUGGAGGAGCGUGAGGAGUGAGUGGUGGUGGGUGAGUGCGGGUAUCAAGCUCGUGUUCCCUUCCUCUCUCCCCUCUCUGUCCCUUUCCCCCAACACACAUUCACGCUUGUUGUGUUUGUCAGAGUUAUUUGGCUAAUGAAAAUGGACAACUUUUAACAAUGGAUCUCUUGGCUCUUGCAUCGAUGAAGAACGCAGC
rnacentral:misc_RNA from 1 species